rnacentral:rRNA from 1 species
GAUGAACGCUGGCGGCGUGCUUAACACAUGCAAGUCGAACGGAAAGGCCCAAGCUUGCUUGGGUACUCGAGUGGCGAACGGGUGAGUAACACGUGGGUGAUCUGCCCUGCACUUCGGGAUAAGCCUGGGAAACUGGGUCUAAUACCGGAUAGGACGAUGGUUUGGAUGCCAUUGUGGAAAGUUUUUUCGGUGUGGGAUGAGCUCGCGGCCUAUCAGCUUGUUGGUGGGGUAAUGGCCUACCAAGGCGUCGACGGGUAGCCGGCCUGAGAGGGUGUACGGCCACAUUGGGACUGAGAUACGGCCCAGACUCCUACGGGAGGCAGCAGUGGGGAAUAUUGCACAAUGGGCGCAAGCCUGAUGCAGCGACGCCGCGUGGGGGAUGACGGCCCUCGGGUUGUAAACUCCUUUCGCUAGGGACGAAGCGUUUUUGUGACGGUACCUGGAGAAGAAGCACCGGCUAACUACGUG